GAUGAACGCUGGCGGCGUGCCUAACACAUGCAAGUCGAGCGAGGGUUUGCUCAGUAUUGAGUAUUCUAAGACUAGAAUGUUCAAUUCUGAGCAAAACCAAGCGGCGGACGGGUGAGUAACGCGUGGGUAACCUGCCCUAUACACAUGGAUAACAUACUGAAAAGUUUACUAAUACAUGAUAAUAUAUAUUUGCGGCAUCGCAGAUAUAUCAAAGUGUUAGCGGUAUAGGAUGGACCCGCGUCUGAUUAGCUAGUUGGUGAGAUAACUGCCCACCAAGGCGACGAUCAGUAGCCGACCUGAGAGGGUGAUCGGCCACAUUGGAACUGAGACACGGUCCAAACUCCUACGGGAGGCAGCAGUGGGGAAUAUUGCACAAUGGGCGAAAGCCUGAUGCAGCAACGCCGCGUGAACGAUGAAGGUCUUCGGAUCGUAAAGUUCUGUUGCAGGGGAAGAUAAUGACUGUACCCUGGAGGA
rnacentral:rRNA from 1 species